rnacentral:rRNA from 1 species
AUGAAUAUCUAUCUUGUUCAUUCUGCUAUUAUAGAGGCUAGUGCUGGAGUAAAUAGUUACAUGGCUCCAAUGUUAGCAGUUAUGAGGGAGAAAUUCGUGAAAUAUUGGUCUGACUAUAGCGUAUUUCUGUCUUGUGCUGCUAUUCUUGAUACCCACAUUAAGUUCAAGUUUUUAGGAUAUGCCUACUCCAAGCUAUAUGAUGGUGAUGAUGCCCUUCAGCGCAUUAAUCUUGUUAGGACUACAACGACUUCUUUAUUUAAUGAGUAUGGUAGUGGUGUACAUGUCAAUGAAAACAUAGCAACUAGUGCAUCAUCAAGCACGUGUGGACUUGGUGCCUUUUCUGACUAUGAUCAGUACAUGGAAAGCACGAGCUCACAUGAAGGGAGAUCUGAAUUGGAAUUGUAUUUGGCUGAACCUGCGAAGAGGUUGAAUGAAAAUGUCAAUAUCUUGGAUUUCUAG